rnacentral:rRNA from 1 species
GGGGGGGGGGCUAUAAUGCAAGUCGAGCGCGGGAAGCGAACGGAAUCCUUCGGGAGGAAGUUCGUGGAACGAGCGGCGGACGGGUGAGUAACACGUGGGCAACCUGCCUGUAAGACUGGGAUAACCCCGGGAAACCGGGGCUAAUACCGGAUAAUACAUGGUUUCGCAUGAAACCAUGUUGAAAGAUGGCUUUUACGCUAUCACUUACAGAUGGGCCCGCGGCGCAUUAGCUAGUUGGUAAGGUAACGGCUUACCAAGGCAACGAUGCGUAGCCGACCUGAGAGGGUGAUCGGCCACACUGGGACUGAGACACGGCCCAGACUCCUACGGGAGGCAGCAGUAGGGAAUCUUCCGCAAUGGACGAAAGUCUGACGGAGCAACGCCGCGUGAACGAAGAAGGUUUUCGGAUCGUAAAGUUCUGUUGUUAGGGAAGAACAAGUGCCGUUCGAAUAGGGCGGCACCUUGACGGUACCUAUCGAGGAAGCCCCGGCUAACUACGUGCCAGCAGCCGCGGUAAUACGUAGGGGGCAAGCGUUGUCCGGAAUUAUUGGGCGUAAAGCGCGCGUAGGCGGUUUCUUAAGUCUGAUGUGAAAUCUUGCGGCUCAACCGCAAGCGGUCAUUGGAAACUGGGGAACUUGAGUGCAGAAGAGGAGAGUGGAAUUCCACGUGUAGCGGUGAAAUGCGUAGAUAUGUGGAGGAACACCAGUGGCGAAGGCGACUCUCUGGUCUGUAACUGACGCUGAGGUGCGAAAGCGUGGGGAGCGAACAGGAUUAGAUACCCUGGUAGUCCACGCCGUAAA